GACGAACGCUGGCGGCGUGCUUAACACAUGCAAGUCGAACGGAAAGGCACAGCUUCGGUGCGGUGCUCGAGUGGCGAACCGGUGAGUAACACGAGAGGAGCCUGCCCUGUACUUUGGGAUAACCUCAGGAAACGGGAGCCAAUACCGAAUAGGAGCUCUAGCUGAUUGGAUUGGGUCGGAAAGUUUCGGCGGAAGGGGAUGUACGCGCGGCAUAUCAGCUUGCGGGUGUGGUUGAGGCGUAGCAGGGCUUUGACGGGUAGCCUGCCUGAAAGGGUGACCGGCCCCAUUGGGCCUGAGCUACGGCCCAGACUCCUCCGCGAGGCAACAGUGGGGAAUAUUGCACAAUGGGCGGAAGCCUGCUGAGGCCCCGCCGCGUGCGGGAUGACAGCAUUCGAGUUGUAACCCGCUUUCGCCUGUGACGAAGCGUGAGUGACGGUAAUGUGUAAGGAAGCACCGGCUAACUACGUG
rnacentral:rRNA from 1 species